CAACACAACCUCUGCUCUUUCGUUGUGCUUGGCUUCGCUUCGGAGCACACGCCCAGGCUCAGUGGGUGAGAUUGCAGAUAGGUAACAAAUGCCUACGAAAUGAACUAGAAGGAAAUCCAGCCAAUGCCUUUCCGUCUCGGGACAGUGUUUAUGUUUAUAAAUAUCUUCAAGGUAUAUGGGGUUGUCCCCACCAUCACUCAGGGGGGCUCUCCUGAACCUGACAUUCAUCUCUUGGGCCAGGCUGGCUGGCUGAUCAAUGAGCUCCAGGAACCUGCCUGCCUCCACUCCCCCAGUGCUGCGGUUACAGGUAGUGUGCAUGCUUUGGGAUCCACACAACUGACUGGAACACCAUCGCAUGAAAGGCUACAUAGUAGAGAUGAUCUCUACGGCCCAGGGGACCUGUCCUUUGGGCUGCUCCCAGAGCAAUGGUAACACAAGAUUCCAGGAAUCCAUCCUCAAAUCUAGAAACUCAAUCCAAUGACACACACCUGCAGUGAUGACCAGUCCCUUCACUGAGUAAGCAGAGGGCACAUAGACAGCUAUGGGUGGAAGAUGAAACCAUCGCAACCGCAUAGACAACGGUGUCAACACUGGAACCAAUGCCGGGCCAAGCAGGGACCUGGCCUAAUUCUCCAGCCAAGUGGAAGCAUUGUGCAAAUCUGCAACCGCCUCUGCAUCAUGACUGUCUAAUCCUAAUUGUAAUGUCAUCUGCUCCAGUCAGGUCUUUUGCACACAGGGCUCACUGUCAGGGUCCCCUACAGCUUUAGUAGCCCAACUUUCUUCAGCCCUUUUGGUUGGCAACAGUUUCUCCAUAUCUGUCUGAAGGAUGGAGACCUGUUGGAGAAUAUUCAGUGAGGUAUCUGUCGGGCAUUUCUUCAUGACUUGGCUCAGGUAUCCUGGGUGAAAACAACACAAAAAUAAAAGUCAGACUCAUCCCUUUCCACCUUACUGGGUCACUCAGUGUCCACUGUCCAAUCCCCAGAGCUAGUGACUUAAAUCAGGGUAGCACUGGGCUAGACUUCCCCACUACAAUGUUACCUUUUUAAUGAAUACAACUUUUAGGAGGCAUUUUUCAAACAAACAAACAAACAAAGAAACAAACUGUAGGAGGCUGGAGAGAUGGCUCAGUGGUUAAGACAACUGACUGCAAUUCCAGAGGUCCUGAGUUCAAUUCCCAGCAACCACAUCUUGGCUCACAACCAUCUGUAAUGGGAUCUGAUGCCCUCUUCUGGUGUGCCUGAAGACGGCUACAGUGUACUCAUAUAAAUGAAACAAAUAAAUCUGUAAGGAAAGGAAGGAAGGGAGGGAGGGAGGGAGGGAGGGAGGGAGGGAGGAAGGAAGGAAAGAAAGAAGACUGUAAUUUCCUUGGUCCUCAACAAACACUACACUUAAGAACUUAUUUAUUUAUUUAUUUAUUUAUUUAUUUGGUUUUUAUUCGAGACAGGGUUUCUCUGUGUAGCCCUGGCUGUCCUGGAACUCACUCUGUAGACCAGGCUGGCCUCGAACUCAGAAAUCCGCCUGCCUCUGCCUCUCGAGUGCUGGGAUUAAGGGCGUGUGCCACCACUGCCCGGCAUGAACUCGUUUAUUAAGUGAGUUAUGGCAGAGUCCUAUGGCAUUGAGGUUAGAGGCACAGACGUUAUCCCAACCCUUGAGAGGUUGUGAUUUGAAGAUAGAAGACCAAGGUCAGCCUGUACUACAUAUAGAGAUUUUUGUCUCAACAAACAAUUGUUAUCAUCAGUUUUUGGUUUUUUUUUAAAGCUAAAUUGCUGUGUGCUUGCUUAUAUGAUGUGUCCGUGUGUGUGCCUGUGAGUGCGUGCUCACGCCAUGGUGCACAUGUGGCGGUCAGAGGAUAACGGUCUGACUCAGUCCUUUCAUUCUUCUGUGGGUUCCAGGAUGGAGCCCAGGUGAUCAGGCAAGCGCAUUUCCCCACCAAGCCGCAUUGUUAACCCUCAUGCAUUAAAAAAAAAAAAAAAAAAUUCCAGACAGUUUUUCUCUGAGUAGAUCAGUCUAGCCUCAUCUGCUUGUCUCUGCCUCCUGAGUGCUGGGAUUAAAGGUAUGUGCCACCACUGCCUGGCAAUAAAUUACUUUUAUGUUCAAAUUGUCUGUUAUUUUGCUGGAGUGACCUCCUUCCAACUGGGUUCUGAGGAUUUUUUAUUUGUUUGUUUGCUUGUUUGUUUAGAGAUAAAGUUCACAGGUAGCUCAGGUUGGCUUGAACGCCCAGCUUCCUGGGAUUAAAGGCGUCCGUCACUAUCCCCAGCAAUAAUUUAGUUAGAAAGGAUGCUCCAGGCUCUUGAUAUAUUUUUCCUGCCCCAGCUCUGCGGCCGACGACCACUUCAAGAUGUCCUUAUUCCUUUCUGUAGAGAACAGUUUUUAGAAGUCAUGAUAUUGAUGUGAAGUGUGUUCGGCCUCCCUCGUCCCGCCCCCAUUACUGCACUUGUCUAUAUCGGAAGCUCUGAAUGGAGUCUAAAGUGUCCAUCUCAAGCUAAAACCACAGCACUUGUCCUAGAGUUGCCUCUUCUGGUCUUCAUACCGCCUCCAACCGUGCUCAGUCUGGCAAUGCAGAGCUCCUGCAGCUGGAGGAGAGGAUGUUACAAAAAAAGUCCCUAUGAGGCUAUGAAGGAAGAGCAUUCAUUCACCGUGCAGGUUUUGGCACGAGAGUGUUUUGGCAGGACUCAGCUUCCUCUGCAGCGGCCUGGGCAGAAGUGCCUGCCAUGUGGGAGGAACAGCAGGAAUCACACAGCCCUGUAACAGGGAAUGAUGGAGGCAGACAUUUAUGGACCAUUGUAAAGAUUCUGAUUUGUCAAAUGACCAUGAUCGGAAGCUAUCAGAACACGCUGAACAGAGGAGGGGGAUGGCUCUCAAAGGCCUUGUUCUAACUGUGAACGUGAAAGCCAGGAGACCAGCCAUAAAGGUAAAUGAGGAGGUUGGUUCACAGGUAUGAGAAAACGCAGGUCUGGGAGUCUGUUUGGGAGGCUGGUUAACUGGAUGGGACCUGUGCUCUGAGAGGCAGGUUGGGGUAUCCAUGAUAUAAAUACAACUGAAAACCUAGGGACAAAUGUGGAGAACUUUUGGGGGUCCCUAGGCAGGAAUCUGAUAUUGGCCAAGGACAAGGAAAUGGGCUUCAGGCAGGAAUCUAAUUUUAGGCUAGAACAAGGAAACAACAACAACAACAACAACAAAAUAACAAAAGAAGUAGACUUCAGGCAAGAAUAGGACUUUGGGCUAGAGCGGUGAAGUAGGCUCAGACACCUUGGUCACCCUGAUAAGCCCUUAGAAACAGUGAUCACAGAGGUGAUCGUGGGACUCUGUUUGUUGCCUUGCUUGUUCCUUGACUAUCUGUGUUUGUUGUCUUGCUUGUUCUUUAACCUAGAACUGACCUUAAUACUUGCAUGAAAUUAAAAUGGUAUAAAGGCUGUUUGGGAAAAAAUAAACCUGCCUCAGUCUCAGAAUUGACUGGGGUCAUGCUGCAG
rnacentral:lncRNA from 1 species